UGACUUGUAAAAAUAACUUUUUACACAUGUGUAUAUAUAUAUAUAUAUAUAUAUAUACUCUUAUUUAACAUUAUCAUUUAAAUUAAUUAUCUCUUUUCAAGGGAAAUAGCUAAGGGGAUGACCUAAAGGGAUGAACUUAAGGGUUGACAAAGACCAAGAAGUAGAACAAAAACUAAGUAAAAUUAUAUGUAUAUAAAUAAAUAUAUGUAUAAAUAAAAGGAAUGUCUAUCAUAGGAAAAUAAUUAAAUCAAACCAAAAUCAGAUAAAAUAAUUAGUCAAAUGUCAUGAUAAAUAAAUAAGAAAGGGAGAAAACGUAAAAUUUGGGCCCUAGGCCCAAAUUCUGCUGCUGCAGUUUUUAGGGCCUUUAGGCCUAUUUUCUUUCCAAAGUCAUGAUACAUUUUGAGUGUAUAUUCUAUGUAUAAGCUGUGUAUAUUGACAAGUUUUGCGCUCCUGAACCUGCUAUUUCAACCAAAACUUUGUAUUUUUGCGUUUUUAAUUUCCUGGCCACGUUUUCCAACUGCAUAUUGUAUAUUCACAUUGUAUACCAGUGUAUAUGGUCUGUAUAUCGACCUAUUUUUUCGGCUUUUCGGGGACCUGCAAAUUAAUUCCCAGCAACAAAUUUGCUGAUUUUGAUCUGUACACCAGUUAUAACGGGAUGGACGACUCGGAUACGGUGGUGUGAGCCUUUACGUCUCGAUGAGAGGAUGCAAAUGGAUGAAGUAAAGUCCGUAAGGACCCAAAGAAAUUUUUUACGUGCAAGAAAAUAGAAAUGGGUUAGCAUAUGAAAUAAUAUAAGAAACAAGAUAUAUAUUAAAAGAAAGCAGAUUUUAUUUUAAAAACAAAGGAAAGCUACUUAAGGGAUUUGAAUGAAGCUAAAAUGCAUGACUCGAAGACCAAGUGAAUAGCACUAACAAAAUCUUUAAAAAAAUAAAAAACUCUCUAGACAGUAGCAUGUAUUGUGCGUGUAUGCAUACUUAAGAACAUACCAUGUUCAGGGAACAUAUAGUCCUUGGAUAAUAUUGAACUCAAAUGUAUAAAGAGAAAACAUAUUGCAUAUUUAUUCCAAUGGACCACCUAAUGCCAAUGUCAAGAUAAUUCAUUCGGUCAGAUCUGACAUUGCUAAAUCCAACCUUUUAAACAAGAGAGAAAACUAGUAAGAUCUUUUUUUUUUUUUUGCCAAACCAUUCUAAACGGAAGUAAAUAUAACUAUAAAUAAUCAAAACCAAAGGAGUUUAUUCGUCCGAGCUAACAUGUUAUGCAUAAAUGCAAAUAGACAUGAAAUAAAGUAUAGAAUGCAAGGAGAUCACUAUUAAGCAAAGACACCAUAUAAGUAGCCGAGAAAGAUGGCAAUUAAAACUAAGAUAGAUAUCUUCAAAUGUAGACCAAAGGUUGAAAAACUAUUGGUAUUUUAACUGACAACAUCCUCCAAAAAAGGUUUCUACCCCUCAAUAUAUCAAACAAUUAAUAGAUAUUUAUGAUCCAAACUGAAGUUGCGAUUUCUAAUCUAGGGAUGACAGUAUGCUGUUUUAAGAGCUUCUAAUCGAGCACUAGAUCUGGCCAACAUGCUUAUAGAGCAGAUUGAACCAAGACAAACAGAAGAGGGAAACAAAUGUCCAUUUCGGAUAAGUUUCACGAUAUUUCAAGGAGCUGACUACAAAUAAUAAGCAACUUUCGACUAACAAAUGAGCAAAACAGGGUUAAUCCCGACUCGAACAAAGUUCAUAUCAAAAUGAAGAAUGAUCUCAAACAAACUGAACUUACACGAAUUUACAGGGAUGUUUCAAAUUCAUUCAGCCUCUAAGCAUCAAAUACGAAAAUGUAGCCAACGGAAUCGAAUUAAACGACAAAUAAGCAUGGUUUUGACCUCCUUAGAAAAUAUCAACUAGACCAAAAUAAAGAACAGAGACACACAUUUUUGAAAUGUAGAUCAUGAAAUCAUUACUGAUCCAUAGCCCUUCACAAGUAAGUAGUUGAGACAGCAAGGAAAUAAGAAGAUUAAAGUAGUGCACAAGCAAGGGUUCGGGGCCAAAUGAAACAUCAAAAUUUCAAACGAGGACGUAAACACACAACCUCAUGGGCUAAUAGGCAGAUUGGUUACUGCUUUGCAGCUAAUAGUGAGUAAAAAAUUAACACAAGCAACUCACACAGUCGAUAGUCAAACGAGCAAACAUUCGGAACAAAUUAUGCUUCAAACGAGGUGAGUAUUACCUUUCGAAGUGCAGCAAAACAGGGAUAUCUAACCAGCUUUGAAAGCGCCAACUUCCGACGACUCAAAGAAAACUCCGGUGAACGAAGAAACAAGCAAGGCACUCAAACAAGGCCUAAACUCUCACUUUUUUUUUUAUUUUUGCUUCUGAGAACUUAUCCUCAAAUAAUUGCAGCUAAUAGUUUACUAUAUUUUCCUCUCAAAUUUCAACUAUUCACCAAGUAAAGUUUUCUGUCACCGAAAAAAAUUUCCCCCUUUUACAAUGAAGCGAAAGAGAAUAUACAUAGGGGUUAUUAGGGUUUGAUUUUUGGGGGAAAUUGAGUGAGGAUGGGUCCAAAUUCGAAUUUCAAAGUCCAAAUCUCUUUCACAAAUUGAGGGAGACACCGUUUCCUGACGAUUCGGCUCCAUUCCGGAAGAGGAAAGGAAACCAAAGGAUUGGAUUGACUCGAGGUCCUUGGCGAACGAUGUGUCCCCAUCUCAAGGCCACAAGGACGGAUUUGCAGCUGCUGGUACGAAAAAAGGAGAGGAACGUUGAAGAAAGGGACAAAGAACCAUCAUACUGGUCUCUACUUUGGGGCGUUAUUUUUUUGGGAAUUGUCACGCUAUUCUGCGUCUCUUUUGGGAAGAGAUUGGGGCUGGGUCGGGUCUAUGGAAUGGGCCGCGUUCAAGGGGAGUUGGGCUGACUGAAUCUGGAAAAGAAGUUGCAGGAAAUUAAUUCAAAUCAGGGUAAAAUGGGCUGACUAAAAUUUUAGGAAUGGGG
rnacentral:lncRNA from 1 species